rnacentral:tRNA from 1 species
GGAGGCGUGGCCGAGUGGUCGAAGGCAACGGCCUUGAAAGCCGUAGACCCCUCGCGGGUCCGUGGGUUCGAAUCCCACCGCCUCCU